GGGGAGUUACAAAAUCAAGACUGAGGUUUCCUUUAAAAUAUUAACAAAAAAGUAAAUAAAUAAAGUAUCCUCUUCCUCAUGUAAGAUAACGUGAAAUAAAUGGCUGGCUUCAUAUGUUGGCUGACACCAGAGACUGAUUUCUUCCCUUGACCCUACCAUUCUCAGGAAACCUGAGGACCAGGCUCAGCUCCACCGUCAAUGGUUUGAGAGAGCUUCAGGGCAUUAUCUCUUUGAACCUCAGCGCCCUCAUUUGCAUUCUUCUGUUUAACAAAUUUUUGUAGAGCACUUAUCGGGUGCCAGGUAUUGUGAUUCACCCUGAAGAUAAAACAGAAUGGGAGAGACCCGGCCUUGGACUUUAUGAUGCUCAUUGGGUACCACAGAGGGUCACUUGACGGAAGCCUUCGGCCUGGGCAUUCUGAACCACCACGAUUCUUCUUCAUGAAAUCAUCUGCCUUCCCGUACCAUCUGCUUGAGAACUGUUUGGUUGACUUGAGAAAAGGAGAAGUGAAGCCUCUGAUACCUUUGGAUGGUGUCUGAGUGGUGGGCGCCCCACAUCGACCUUUCCCAGCAGCCGGUGACCAGCUUCUUUUUAUUCUCAUUUGCCUGGAGAGCCAUCAGGGUCAGUCUGGUAACUUCCUCACAAACAAGGCCCAUUGGCAUGUCAUGCUCCGCAGAUUGUAACCACUGAUACUUUGAACAGACCUUGGAAAUAGUUACUCACUUAAGAAGACCGCAUACCUCUGAGAGAACACCCAGAGGGUGAUGAGGAAGAGGUGUGACAACUAUGCUUGUGUUUUGAAUCAUCCUAAAGACAUGGAUUAGCCCUUCAGAUGUUUGCUAAUUUUUCCAGAGGAGGCAUAUUCGUCACUGCGUCCAGUUACCGUGUAAUGAUUUAUAGAAGCCCUCCCCAUUUUGGGGCGCUGUGUAAACCAUGCCUCAAAGCCUCCCUGCCACGGAUCCACUCAACCGCCACAGAAAGCUUAAAUCUGUCUGGUAAACCUAGUGCAACAUCUAGAAACAUUGCUUCCGGCAUCCAAAUCUGCCAUGGAUACCAGGACUUCACAUUUCUGAAGUCAUAACUGUUUGAUUCUUUUGCAGUAGAAACUUCCCCUGCUGACUCUCCUCCGCCGUAAAAGUGACUUAGUAUGAAUUUUGUUUUGAGAUGGACAAAGGAAGCAUCGGGAAGCUGUUAGCAGAUUCCACUAGCCCCCGAGAGGAUCCAAGGAGGGCGACAAGCAGAAGAAAAAUGACAGAAGGUUCUAAGCCUGGACUCCUCAUUCUGCUGUUUAUGGGGCCGCCCGGAGGUCUCUAGAAGAGGCACUGUAAGGGAAUCAAGGGAUCAGGGCUCAGCUGCAGGCGGCACUCCCCAGGCACCCAGGCACUUGAACUCACCUUUGGCAGGAACCCAGGAGCCGAGUUACAAGGCCACAGAUGGAAAAGCUAGGACGGUUUGUUGUCCCAGGACUGGUACGAGCCCUUAAAUUCUCCUUGCCUUGAUUCAGGUCUCUAAAUCGAUCUUAAGACCUGGAGCAGUUCUAGCUGCCCGGGGAGCCCAGAGCAAUGACUAUCAUCCUGGAGGCCAGUAGUGCCAUUACGGGGUUAUAAUUUGAGUGUAAAAUUACUUGGCCAGCCUGACACCUAGCUCAGAGCCUCUACUCACCAAGCCAUGUACCUCACACAGCCCGUGGGGGCUCACCGGGAGCCCUUGUUUAUAAGUCCCCUCAAAAGGCCCUCUGUGUGCUGGGGUGAUACUGCCAGGAGACUCCUUUGCCCAGAAUUUGAAAUCAGGCAGGUCCUCAGAUUUGCACUUCUGGAGACUCUUCUGCAAGAUGUUACACCUACAGCUACAGAGACACCCAGGAUCGAAAGCAGAAGACGGAUUCAUCAUUCAACUUAAACCUGUGUCUCUUACAAGACCAUCUGUCACUGGUGGUAACACAUGUGUGUGAAUCAGAAAAAGGCAGACCUAGUAUUGCACCAGCAAGCAUGGUGUGGCAAUCGGAGACUGAGCCAGAGUUUAAUCCCUGCUCUUCCCUUUGACCAGCAUGCACAAUCAUCCCUCGGGGCUCUGCCUAUGUGUCGCUUUUAAUAGUAGAUCUAGCAACUGUUCUGUAAAUGGCAAAAUUAUAUAUGUUUUGUUUGAAAGCGCUAAUUGCUUGAACAGUUAAGAUAUUCCACAAUUUUUGUAACUAAAUUUUAGCAUACCUUCAUUUUAAACCUAUCAGGACUGUCGUAAAAUCAAAGUGGCUUGGGUCUCUCCUCUCUCUCUCUCUCUCUCUCUCUCUCUCCCUUUGACCUUUGAGAAGCUCCAGCCCAGGGGCAGGAGGAAGGGAGGCAGGAGCUGGAGCGAGGGAGCCCUGACACUUCCCACUGCAGGGAACGGAGGCCGCCUGUCAGCUCGAAUCAUUUUCCUGUAGGAAAUGUCAUUGCAUCAGUGCAUUGUAAGAAAGUGAUGUCAUAGUGUGGGGCCCUGAUCCGCUUCCUGACUUUUAACCUGAGUCUUGCAACCUUUUUCAGCUGUGCUGCACCCAGAGAAAAUGAAACACAUUGAAAUGGAAAGGCCAGCGGGUCUCAUAAAGACCUUUGAGGCCCCAGGGUGGGGUUCACUGCUGCACACGUAUUAACGAUCAAAAAGCAGUUUUGUUUGGGCGUCACAUCCUGGAUCUGACAUGGACCUAGUACCUAGGAAAGUAAAUGGAAAAGAAACGGUCUUCAGGAUGUCUCUGUAAUUUCUCGGCAGAAACCCUUCCUUUUUCCCAUGUUGGGUUUAAUUAGUGGGGACAACGUUAAAAUUUAAUUAGGAUGCAUUGCUUGGUUUGUGUCGUGGUGGUGUUUUUGUUGUUAAACUCUCUGUGAAAAUGAAUCAUGGCUCCUGAGCUGAUAUUUUAAAUCUUACAUACGGCGUUUGUGUCUCCAUGUCUUCGGAUUGGUUACAACCCCAGCCCAAAUGACAUUAUUAAGCUAUUUCCUGGAAUGUCAAGGGCUGAAAUUGCCCUGUCAAGAACGACUCUGUUCUUUCAGGGAUUUCAGAGAGCAAGGGCUCGGAUUGCAUUCUUGCUCUGUUAUUAUAAGUUUUUGCCUGGCAGGAAACCACUGGGUCUCAGACAAUUUGCAUAUAUCCAAUAAGAGUGAUCCACUGUUCUAUGGAGGUUUUCAAGAUUGCAUGACAGCACUGCGGAAGAAUCUCAUAUGGAGAAAGGGGAUUUUUUCCCCCUUUCCCUAAGCCCCAUUUUAAAUAGUUUCCUUCCCACAAGCUGAUGUGUCCACAUUCAAAGAGUUAUAAGUAACCCAGUCUAUUUUCCUGCCUUGGCCUCUGUCACUAGUCCAGUAAUAUCACCAGCCACACACAACUGGAAACAGGCUGUCUGAAAGUAUAGGUGCCUUAUUCCUUCCACAAGGCCUGUAAAGCAGACUUUUUUUUUUUUUUUGGCAUGUGAUGGUGAGCAUUAACAAUUUAGUUCUCCCCGGUGAGGGCAUAGCAAAAUGCUCGUUUCUCUGUGAAAGCAAGGGCAAGAAAGAACCCCACGUAUUUCUUGAUAACUGAAUAUAAUUUUGUGCACGUUAUCCAUGGGAUUCCGGUUAGCCCAAAGCACUCAGUAUUAGACCACUUCCUUUAUGCAUCAGUUUGGGAUCUUCAGGACCGUGCACAUUUGGUUGAGCACAGAAGUUCUGGGAAGCAAUCAUUGCACCUCACUGGUCCCACAGUGGGUGCCAUAUCAGCCGGAACUCCACGUCUUGAUAGAACGUCCAAGGAUCAUCUUAAACCCUCUCAGAACAGAGAGGGAUACAAAUCAGAAAGGAAAAUGGGAGUAAAUUAAGAAAUAGCCAGGACACUAGGUACUGGGUGGAUAUGUUCCAAUAAGAUUGAGAUUGAUUAAGACAAUGUGCUGCUAAAACUUAAAUCCCUACUUGUGUAAUCACCAGGCCCAGAACUAGACCUCUCACAGCUUCAUUAGGUGACAGAUGAGCAUGCGUCGAUUGAAGAGCAGAGGCCUGGGUGGCCCCUACAGGACUUCCAGACACCAACAACUGAGCUGUGUGUUCUGGAACAUGUCAUUUAGUUUCUGAAAAAAUACCAUAUUUUUCAUGAAAUGUCUAAAAUGUUCAUUCUGUACUUGUGUAUUCUCAAAUGAAUGGAGUCUAUAGAGAUUGAUAUUCAAAGGCAUCUAAUAA